UGAAUUCUCUUUCUGAUAGGCUAGAUGUC
rnacentral:piRNA from 1 species